ACGCUGGCGGCAUGCCUAACACAUGCAAGUCGAACGAGACCUUCGGGUCUAGUGGCGCACGGGUGCGUAACGCGUGGGAACCUGCCCUUAGGUUCGGAAUAACUCCCCGAAAGGGGUGCUAAUACCGGAUAAUGUCUUCGGACCAAAGAUUUAUCGCCUUUGGAUGGGCCCGCGUUGGAUUAGCUAGUUGGUAGGGUAAAAGCCUACCAAGGCGACGAUCCAUAGCUGGUCUGAGAGGAUGAUCAGCCACACUGGGACUGAGACACGGCCCAGACUCCUAGGGGAGGAGGGAGGGGGGAAUAUUGAAAAGGGGGCGAAAGCGUGACCCAGCAAGGCGGGGGGAGGGAUAAGGGCUUUGGGGUUGAAAAGCUUUUUCACCGGGGAGAAAAAUGACAGGCCGGGAAAAAAAAGCCCGGGCAACCCCCGUG
rnacentral:rRNA from 1 species